rnacentral:lncRNA from 1 species
GGGAGGAAGUUGGUUGCGAAGAAGUUUCUGAUGGCUGAGACUGCGACACGCGAUUUCUGUCUGAAGAACAUCUCCUCUAUUUCUCGCAGAAAAUUCUAUUUUUGAUGGAGGUCUCUUUUAGCUUGGAAUGUAGUGGGAUUGGGAUCUUGAAGAGCUUGUACCUGCGCAAUUUGCAACAAACUGUUAGUCUCACUAACUCUCUCUUGAAUUUUGGAAUAGUUGUCUUUAUUUAGAAGUUUAAGAUCACUCUUAGAUUAGUUUAAGCUUCCAGCACAGCUGUGAGAGAGUUUGGCAAGUGUUUCCAGCGUGAAUCCAUGCAUCUUUAAGUAGCUCAGCAAACCCAGGGUGUUUAGUGAG